UUCUCGGGUGGCGAGUGGCGGACGGGUGAGUAAUGUCUGGGGAUCUGCCCGAUAGAGGGGGAUAACCACUGGAAACGGUGGCUAAUACCGCAUAACGUCGCAAGACCAAAGAGGGGGACCUUCGGGCCUCUCACUAUCGGAUGAACCCAGAUGGGAUUAGCUAGUAGGUGGGGUAACGGCUACACCUAGGCGACGGAUCCCUAAGCUGGUUCUGAGAGGAUGA
rnacentral:rRNA from 2 species